CGGAGGAUCCGAGCGUUAUCCGGAUUUAUUGGGUUUAAAGGGUGCGUAGGCGGAAAUGUAAGUCAGUGGUGAAAUCCUGCAGCUUAACUGUAGAAUAGCCGUUGAAACUGUGUUUCUUGAGUACAUUUGAGGUAGGCGGAAUGUGGUGUGUAGCGGUGAAAUGCAUAGAUAUACCACAGAACACCGAUUGCGAAGGCAGCUUACUAAACUGUCACUGACGCUGAUGCACGAAAGCGUGGGUAUCAAACGGGAUUAGAUA
rnacentral:rRNA from 1 species